rnacentral:lncRNA from 12 species
AUGGUGGUGGCGAGGCAGGUGCCGCGUGUCGGGAGCUUAGUGCAGCGAUGGAAGCUCGGUGCCCUUUGUAGGUGCUCUGGGACCUCGGUGGGUGCUCUGGGACCUUGGCAGGUGCUCCAGGACUUUGCCUGCAUUGUCAGGGGGAAACCUUUCUGUGUCCCAGAGCCUUGCUUGCAUGGGGAAAAGGUAAUAUUUAAAGACUUGCUGUUCCAAACGUGGCCCACAGGUCAGCAGCGUCGGCGUCUCCUGCCAGCCGAUUCCAGGGUCCUGCUCCAGACCUACGGAGCAAGAACCUCAGCGGGGUUGGGGGCUGUUCCCAAGACUUAGUGUUUCCAACAAGCAGUCCAGGUGAUUCGAUGCACACGGGGUUUAGGAAGCACCGAUUCCUGCACGGGCGCAACACACCGGCUCUCCUGAGACCCCCCCCCCCCAUCCCCGCCGGCACGUACGGUGACUCUCCACCGUGUGAUCAGGGGAAAGUCUACUUCUACUCAAGGGCACGGGAAGCCCAUGCUAAAACCCGGUUGUUAAAGCCUUUGUUUCAAAACACAGGAGAUUCUUUAAAGAAUUCCACUGUGGAUCAGUCGUAACGUAAAUCGAGCUUUAGAAAUGUGGACGUGGUGACUGACCUACGAUCUCAGAAUUCUCUACCCGAAAGCAAGGGAAAUGGAGUCUCACGCUCUCAUACAUGGAAAGAAGUUGGUAGAAGACACGGGACCACGGGAUGGGAAUCAGAAGAAUGGGCCCAGCACAGCCAGGACGGAGGCGGGUCCCGGGUAGGCAGUCUGGAGAACGAUCCCCGUGCAGGGAUCAAGGGGUUCUCUAGAGCUCCCACCCGUCCACGCAAGGUGCACAUUCCCAGGAGAGACUCUGGGUUGGCCGAGGCGCGGCCACAGCCCGGGCCCUGGCAGGUGGAAGGCCGGCGGACUCCUGUGCUGGUGACUCCAAGAGCAUCGAGCAAUGGGUGCCGGAUGAUUCCUCCAAACCGAACCAGGUCGGGCUCCCAGGUGCGAGUGCGUGAAGCCGACAAGCCAACAGCAGGUGCGCCCUGCCUCCCCAGCCCAGUAACGGCUCCGAGACCUUGGUUUUUAAGGCAAAUGUUGACUGUAUCAACCUCUACCAUAAGAUAAAAGCUGACCUCAGCUACCAAAACCCAAUUCCAGGCUCUAGAAAAACGUGCAAAAAGUGGAAAACCGGCUAGCGUUUCAUGAGCACCUGCCACGCGACAGGCAUGCUCCUAACACUCCAGGUCGCCUCAUCUGAUCCACGAAACAACCUUAAGACCUGUGUUCAACAAAGAAGAUUUUAGGUGACUUAAAACAGAUCAAAACCUGGCAAAGGGAUCCCUGGGUGGCGCAGCGGUUUGGCGCCUGCCUUUGGCCCAGGGCGCGAUCCUGGAGACCCGGGAUCGAAUCCCAUGUCGGGCUCCCGGUGCAUGGAGCCUGCUUCUCCCUCUGCCUGUGUCUCUGCCUCUCUCUUUCUCUCUCUCUCUCUGUGCGUGACUAUCAUAAAUAAAUAAAUAUUAAAAAAAAAAAAAAACCUGGCA